AGGACGAACGCUGGCGGCGUGCUUAACACAUGCAAGUCGAACGGUGAACCUUCCUUCGGGAGGGGGAUCAGUGGCGAACGGGUGAGUAACACGUGAGCAACCUGCCUCUAGCUCUGGAAUAACCCCGGGAAACCGGGGCUAAUACCGGAUACGGGACCGAUGGGCAUCUCUACGGUCUGGAAAGUUUUUUCGGCUAGAGAUGGGCUCGCGGCCUAUCAGCUUGUUGGUGGGGUAACGGCCCACCAAGGCGACGACGGGUA
rnacentral:rRNA from 1 species